rnacentral:sRNA from 1 species
CCCACCCCCACCGCACUAUCCGUACCCUUCUCCACCACCCCCGUUUUACCCUCAAAAGUCACCUCCACCUCCAUACUAUUAUAAUCCACCUCCCCAUCAUCAUCACCACCCUUAGAUUGUUAUUUGGAAAUAAAGAACGUGUCCAAAUAAAGGAGUCUGAAGGACUUGAAGAAGCACCAUCUACUGAACAAUGGAACACGUUUUGUUAAUCUAUCAUUGAUUUGGUUUCGCUUUCUUUAUAUAUUUAUAUAUUUUCAUAUUUCAAGUUUUAAGGGACAGUUCAAAUCUGAUCCCCAUGUCUACGCUUCUCCUGCAUCCAUUGCGGUUUUCUAACUGCUGCCAGUGCACUAUGUUGUAUUAUGCCAACUUAUAUUAUAUAUAAUAAAUAAUACCCUAAAUUUAUCACU